GUUUGGCACCUCGAUGUCGGCUCAUCACAUCCUGGGGCUGUAGCCGGUCCCAAGGGUAUGGCUGUUCGCCAUUUAAAGUGGUACGCGAGCUGGGUUUAGAACGUCGUGAGACAGUUUGGNUCCCUAUCUGGUGUGGGCGUUAGAGACUUGAGANGGAGCNUGCUCCUAGUACGAGAGGACNCGGAGUGGNACGUACCUCUGGUGUUCCAGUUGUCACGCCAGUGGCNAUUGCUGNGGUAGCUAUGUACGGACGGGAUAACCGCUGAAAGCAUCUAAGCGGGAAGCCCCCCNUCAAGAUAAGGUCUCUCUGGAUCCUUAGAGAUNCCCUGAAGGGUCGUUGAAGACUACAACGUUGAUANGGCGGGGUGUGUAAGUGCAGUAAUGCAUUNAAGCUAACCCGUACUAAUAGCCCGUGAGGCUUGAUCAUAUAACACCCAAGAAGACUGGUUCGUAAGGCGGAAUCGCCUCAAGUAUCACUGNCCAAAAUUCGCACCAUCUCAGUUGGUGCAAACAGUUUGCCUGGCGGCCNAUAGCGAAUGGGAACCACCNUGAAUCCAUCCCGAACUCAGAAGUGAAAACGUUCAGCGCCGAUGAUAGUGCGGGGUCUCCCCGUGUGAAAGUAGGACA
rnacentral:rRNA from 1 species